UACGGAGGGGGCUAGCGUUGUUCGGAAUUACUGGGCGUAAAGCGCACUUAGGCGGCGCGUCAAGUUAGAGGCGAAAGGCCUGGGCUCAACCUGGGAACUGCCUUUGAUACUGGCGUGCUGGAGUACGGGAGAGGGUGACGGAAUUCCCAGUGUAGAGGUGAAAUUCGUGGAUAUUGGGAAGAACACCGGUGGCGAAGGCGGUCACCUGGCCCGGAACUGACGCUGAGGUGCGAAAGCGUGGGGAGCAAACAGG
rnacentral:misc_RNA from 1 species